rnacentral:rRNA from 1 species
CCUAGGGGGGCAGUAGUGAGGAAUAUUGGUCAAUGGGCGGGAGCCUGAACCAGCCAAGUCGCGUGAGGGAAGACGGUCCUAUGGAUUGUAAACCUCUUUAGGCGGGGAGCAAUGCCGGGCACGCGUGCCCGGAGGGAGAGUACCCGCAGAAUAAGCAUCGGCUAACUCCGUGCCAGCAGCCGCGGUAAUACGGAGGAUGCGAGCGUUAUCCGGAUUUAUUGGGUUUAAAGGGUGCGUAGGCGGGCUGUUAAGUCAGCGGUAAAAGCCCGGGGCUCAACCCCGGCGAGCCGUUGAAACUGGCUGUC